rnacentral:lncRNA from 1 species
UAGGGAUGGUAGGGAUGGUAAGAUGGUAGGGAUGGUAGGAUGGUAGGGAUGGUAGAGAUAUAUGCUGGUAGAGUUGGUAGGGCUGGUAGGGAUGUAUGCUGGUAGGGUUGAAAGGGAUGGUAGGGAUGUUUGCUGGUAGGCCUGGUAGUGCUGGUAGUGCUGGUAGGGAUGGUAGCCUGGUAGAGUUCAUGGGGAUGUAUGAUAGUAGGGUUGGUAGGGCUGGUAGGUUGUUAGAUUUCGUAGGGAUGUAUGAUGGUAGUGCUUGUAGUGCUGGUAGGGUUGUAUGCUUUUAGGGCUGGUAGGGAUGGUAGGGCUGGUAAUGUCCAUAGGGCUUGUAGGGAUGCUAAGAUUGGUAGAGAUGGUAGGGAUGUGUGCUAGUAGUGCUGGUAGGCAUGGUAGGGAUGUAUGCUGGUAGGGCUGGAAGUGCUGGUAGGGAUGGUAGGGCUGAUAGGGAUGGUAGGGAUGAUAGGGAUGUAUGCUGGUAGGGCUGGUAGGCUGAUAGGGAUGGUAGGGCUAAUAGGGAUGGUAGGGCUGAUAGGGACAGUAGUGCUGGUAGAGCUUGUAUUGUUGAUUGGGCUGUUAGGGAUGGUAGGGAUGGUAGUGAUGUAUGAUGUAGGGACGGUAGGGAUGGCAUGGACGGUAGGGAUGGUAGGGAUGGUAGGGAUAGUAGGGAUGGUAGGGAUCGUAUGGAUAGUAGUGAUGGUAG